CCAGCUCCUACGGGAGGCAGCAGUGGGGAAUAUUGCACAAUGGGGGAAACCCUGAUGCAGCGACGCCGCGUGAGUGAAGAAGUAUUUCGGUAUGUAAAGCUCUAUCAGCAGGAAAGAAAAUGACGGUACCUGACUAAGAAGCCCCGGCUAACUACGUGCCAGCAGCCGCGGUAAUACGUAGGGGGCAAGCGUUAUCCGGAUUUACUGGGUGUAAAGGGGGCGCAGACGGCGAUGCAAGCCAGGAGUGAAAGCCCGGGGCCCAACCCCGGGACUGCUCUUGGAACUGCGUGGCUGGAGUGCAGGAGGGGCAGGCGGAAUUCCUGGUGUAGCGGUGAAAUGCGUAGAUAUUAGGAAGAACACCAGUGGCGAAGGCGGCUUUCUGGACUGAAACUGACGCUGAGGCACGAAAGCGUGGGGAGCGAACAGGAUUAGAUACCCCAGUA
rnacentral:rRNA from 1 species